rnacentral:rRNA from 1 species
UACGAAGGGGGGCUAGCGUUGCUCGGAAUCACUGGGCGUAAAGGGUGCGUAGGCGGGUCUUUUAAGUCAGGGGGUGAAAUCCUGGAGCUCAACUCCAGAACUGCCUUUGAUACUGAGGACCUUGAGUUCGGGAGAGGUGAGUGGAACUGCGAGUGUAGAGGUGAAAUUCGUAGAUAUUCGCAAGAACACCGGUGGCGAAGGCGGGUCUCUGGGGCCCGAUACUGACGCUGAGGAGCGAAAAGCGUGGGGGAGCGAACAGG